GAUGAACGCUGGCGGCGUGCCUAAUACAUGCAAGUCGAGCGAACGGACGAGAAGCUUGCUUCUCUGAUGUUAGCGGCGGACGGGUGAGUAACACGUGGAUAACCUACCUAUAAGACUGGGAUAACUUCGGGAAACCGGAGCUAAUACCGGAUAAUAUUUUGAACCGCAUGGUUCAAAAGUAAAAGACGGUCUUGCUGUCACUUAUAGAUGUAUCCGCGCUGCAUUAGCUAGUUGGUAAGGUAACGGCUUACCAAGGCAACGAUGCAUAGCCGACCUGAGAGGGUGAUCGGCCACACUGGAACUGAGACACGGUCCAGACUCCUACGGGAGGCAGCAGUAGGGAAUCUUCCGCAAUGGGCGAAAGCCUGACGGAGCAACGCCGCGUGAGUGAUGAAGGUCUUCGGAUCGUAAAACUCUGUUAUUAGGGAAGAACAGAAGUGUAAGUAACUGUGCACAUCUUGACGGUACCUAAUCAGAAAGCAACGGCUAACUACGUG
rnacentral:rRNA from 1 species